GUCUCUCCUGUAGAUGUCGUGGCCUCUGUUGUGAGUCCUUCAGGUCCAGCAGCAGGGGGCAGUAGUGUGACUCUGACCUGUAACACAAGUGAGGCCAACACUCCAGUGCAGAACUACACCUGGUUUAGAGGAGACCUGCACACCCCUAUAGGAUCUGGACAAACCCUCACCUUUAAUCUCAGCUCCAGUGAUGAAGGACAGUACUACUGCAGGGCAGAACAUUCACAAGGGGGAAAGGAGUCUGAUGCAGUGAGACUGGUGAUUAAAAAACAAAGCCAAAGUUUCCUGGCUAUAGGAAUCACGGUAAAGUGUCUGGCUGCAUUUAUCAUAACCAUCUUGGUCAUUGAUGUUGUGAGGUGGCAAAAAUCCCAUCAGAAGAUAAAACCGGGUGGGCAUCGCCAG